CACGUAGGGCGCAAGCGUUGUCCGGAAUUAUUGGGCGUAAAGAGCUCGUAGGCGGUCCGUCACGUCCGCUGUGAAAACCCAGGGCUCAACCCUGGGCUUGCAGUGGAUACGGGCAGACUAGAGGUAGGUAGGGGAGAAUGGAAUUCCCGGUGUAGCGGUGAAAUGCGCAGAUAUCGGGAGGAACACCGGUGGCGAAGGCGGAUCUCUGGGCCUGUCCUGACGCUCAGGCGCGAAAGCUAGGGGGAGCAAACAGG
rnacentral:rRNA from 1 species